rnacentral:rRNA from 1 species
GAUAUGGCUCAGAUUGAACGCUGGCGGCAGGCUUAACACAUGCAAGUCGAACGGUAACAUAAAGAAGCUUGCUUCUUUGAUGACGAGUGGCGGACGGGUGAGUAAUGCUUGGGAAUCUAGCUUAUGGAGGGGAUAACUACGGGAAACUGUAGCUAAUACCGCGUAGAAUCGGGAGAUGAAAGUGUGGGACCUUCGGGCCACAUGCCAUAGGAUGAGCCCAAGUGGGAUUAGGUAGUUGGUG